AUAGACUCAACUGGAUAAUACCUUUGUCUUCUGUGGUGGUGAAUAUAAUAAAAUUGCACUGAAGGGGCAGAACUCCUGUAGCAGCAACAUUUGGGGGACAUUGGAACUGUGACAAACCCCCCUCGCUCUGUUCUCCAACGUCAGCGAAGCAACAGUACCUAAAAUAAUAUUCUCUCAGAUGACUCUGGCUUCAAGGAAUGAAGUGAGAGCUUUUUGAUAGAAACCCUAAAGGAGGACUCAUGUCUGUAGGGAGACUGAACACAUGGGAUCUGAAUCCUAGUUAACAGUGAAUUCUCUAUUACAAGAAGUAAAAGCUUAUGAAUAUUUUCCUUGGCUCUGAAAGUGGAAGCUGACACUAGCUCGUAUGGGAGAAUUUUAACUAAUGAUUAUUACAAUGCUUAUCUGCUAAUUUGCUUCUCCAUAUUUGGAAUCAGUAUGCUUUAUAUGUGUGUGAAAUUUUUGGAGCUCAUGCUAAAAUUUCAACUAGCCAAAUACUUAUCUGCAUUUCAUUAUUAUUGAAAUAAUUAUAGUAAUAAAUAAUAGUGAACACAAU